AUUGAACGCUGGCGGCAGGCCUAACACAUGCAAGUCGAACGGUAACAGGAAGCAGCUUGCUGCUUCGCUGACGAGUGGCGGACGGGUGAGUAAUGUCUGGGAAGCUGCCUGAUGGAGGGGGAUAACUACUGGAAACGGUAGCUAAUACCGCAUAAUGUCGCAAGACCAAAGAGGGGGACCUUCGGGCCUCUUGCCAUCGGAUGUGCCCAGAUGGGAUUAGCUUGUUGGUGGGGUAACGGCUCACCAAGGCGACGAUCCCUAGCUGGUCUGAGAGGAUGACCAGCCACACUGGAACUGAGACACGGUCCAGACUCCUACGGGAGGCAGCAGUGGGGAAUAUUGCACAAUGGGCGCAAGCCUGAUGCAGCCAUGCCGCGCGUAUGAAGAAGGCCUUCGGGUUGUAAAGUACUUUCAGCGGGGAGGAAGGGAGUAAAGUUAAUACCUUUGCUCAUUGACGUUACCCGCAGAAGAAGCACCGGCUAACUCCGUG
rnacentral:rRNA from 1 species